CUUGUUGUGUUAGAAUUCUGUCUUAUAUAUUUGACCUUUCACUAAGGUUCUGGGAAGGCAACAGAAAACGAUGUGCUAGUAUUCCACAGUUACAUUUAAAAAGGCCAACACAGAUCAGUCCAGAGUAAAGCUGAGUAAUGGUGCAUGAAGAACAGAAAACUCAAGCAGGUGAAAGCUAUGGAAAUGAGCGAUUCCAGUGGGAUCUGAUGGGAUGGAAGGUUCUAAACUGUCUGUGACUCUCCAGGAAGAAGAGAUGAUAAUCUCACCCCACCUCAUCUCAAAUGGGAUGUUAUAGAGCUGCGAAAGACAUUCUGCCGUCUCUCAGGCUGCCUGCAUUUCCUGUUCUGAACAAGGUCUGUGGGAUCCAUAACCUCAGGAUGUCCUUCCCCAGUUGGGAAGUCUUGAAAGCUGAGAAUGCGACUGCCUGAUCAUGCCAUAAAAGACAUGACAUUCUCUCA